rnacentral:rRNA from 1 species
GAGGAAAGCUGGCGGCGUGCCUAAUACAUGCAAGUCGAGCGAACAGACGAGGAGCUUGCUCCUCUGACGUUAGCGGCGGACGGGUGAGUAACACGUGGAUAACCUACCUAUAAGACUGGGAUAACUUCGGGAAACCGGAGCUAAUACCGGAUAAUAUAUUGAACCGCAUGGUUCAAUAGUGAAAGACGGUUUUGCUGUCACUUAUAGAUGGAUCCGCGCCGCAUUAGCUAGUUGGUAAGGUAACGGCUUACCAAGGCAACGAUGCGUAGCCGACCUGAGAGGGUGAUCGACCACACUGGAACUGAGACACGGUCCAGACUCCUACGGGAGGCAGCAGUAGGGAAUCUUCCGCAAUGGGCGAAAGCCUGACGGAGCAACGCCGCGUGAGUGAUGAAGGUCUUCGGAUCGUAAAACUCUGUUAUUAGGGAAGAACAAAUGUGUAAGUAACUAUGCACGUCUUGACGGUACCUAAUCAGAGAGCCGCGGCUAAGUACGUG